UUUGGCGACCAUAUCACGUUGAAAGCACCGGUUCUCGUCCGAUCACCGUAGUUAAGCAACGUUGGGCUUGGUCAGUAAGUAAUCCUUAUUUCGGUGUUAUAA
rfam:Schistosoma mansoni strain Puerto Rico chromosome 1, complete genome